rnacentral:rRNA from 1 species
CCUACGGGAGGCAGCAGUAGGGAAUAUUGCUCAAUGGGGGAAACCCUGAAGCAGCAACGCCGCGUGGAGGAUGAAGGUUUUCGGCUUGUAAACUCCUUUUGUUAGAGAAGAUAAUGACGGUAUCUAACGAAUAAGCCCCGGCUAACUCCGUGCCAGCAGCCGCGGUAAUACGGAGGGUGCAAGCGUUACUCGGAAUCACUGGGCGUAAAGAGCGCGUAGGCGGGAUAGCAAGUCAGAUGUGAAAUCCUAGGGCUUAACCAUAGCACUGCAUUUGAAACUGUUAUUCUAGAGUAUAGGAGAGGUAGGUGGAAUUCUUGGUGUAGGGGUAAAAUCCGGAGAUAUCAAGAGGAAGACUCAUGGCGAAGGCGACCUGCUAGAACAUAACUGACGCUGAUGCGCGAAAGCGUGGGGAGCAAACAGGAUUAGAUACCCCAGUAGUC